rnacentral:rRNA from 1 species
GUGUCAGCAGCCGCGGUAAUACAGAGGGUGCAAACGUUGCUCGGAUUUACUGGGCGUAAAGCGCGUGUAGGCGGGUUCGCAAGUCGGACGUGAAAUCCCUGGGCUCAACCCAGGAACUGCGUUCGAAACUGCGAAUCUAGAGUAGUGGAGAGGAAAGUAGAAUUCCCGGUGUAGAGGUGAAAUUCGUAGAUAUCGGGAGGAAUACCAGUGGCGAAGGCGGCUUUCUGGACACUUACUGACGCUGAGACGCGAAAGCGUGGGGAGCAAACAGGAUUAGAUACCCGCGUAGUCC